CCUACGGGGGGCAGCAGUGAGGAAUAUUGGUCAAUGGACGCAAGUCUGAACCAGCCAUGUCGCGUGAGGGAUGAAGGUACAGAGUAUCGUAAACCUCUUUUGUCAGGGAACAAAGGCGGGGACGCGUCCCCGGAUGAGUGUACCUGAAGAAAAAGCAUCGGCUAACUCCGUGCCAGCAGCCGCGGUAAUACGGAGGAUGCGAGCGUUAUCCGGAUUUAUGGGGUGAAAAGGGUGGGCAGGCGGUCUGUUAAGUCAGCGGUCAAAGCCCGGGGCUCAACCCCGGCCCGCCGUUGAAACUGGCAGUCUCGAGUUGGAGAGACGUAUGCGGAAUGCGCGGUGUAGCGGUGAAAUGCAUA
rnacentral:rRNA from 1 species